rnacentral:rRNA from 1 species
CAGCCGCCGCGGGAAUACGGAGGGUGCAAGCGUUAAUCGGAAUUACUGGGCGUAAAGCGUGCGUAGGCGGUUUGUUAAGUCUGCUGUGAAAUCCCCGGGCUCAACCUGGGAAUGGCAGUGGAUACUGGCAAGCUAGAGUGUGUCAGAGGAUGGUGGAAUUCCCAGUGUAGAGGUGAAAUUCGUAGAUAUUGGGAAGAACACCGGUGGCGAAGGCGGCCAUCUGGGACAACACUGACGCUGAGGCACGAAAGCGUGGGGAGCAAACAGGAUUAGAUACCCCCGUAGUCCCUGUCUCUUAUAC